rnacentral:rRNA from 1 species
UGCCAGCAGCCGCGGUAAUACAGGGGUCUCAAGCGUUGUUCGGAUUCAUUGGGCGUAAAGGGUGCGUAGGCGGCGCCGUAAGUCGGAUGUGAAAUCCCGGAGCUUAACUUCGGAACUGCAUUCGAUACUGCGGUGCUAGAGGGCUGGAGAGGAGAUCGGAAUUCAUGGUGUAGCAGUGAAAUGCGUAGAUAUCAUGAGGAAGACCAGUGGCGAAGGCGGAUCUCUGGACAGUUCCUGACGCUGAGGCACGAAGGCUAGGGUAGCGAACGGGAUUAGAUA